CCAGCUCCUCUUUGUACCUCUGGUAGAACACAGUGAUAAAUCCAUCUGGACCUGAGCUUUUUUUGGUUGCGUCUUUCUUUGUCGCCCAGGCUGGAGUGCAGUGGCGGGAUCUCAGCUCACUGCGGCUUACACCUCCCAGGUUCAAGCGAUUCUUCUGCCUCAGCCUCUCAAGUAGCCGGGACUACAGGCAUGCACCACCACACCUGGCUAAUCUUUGUAUUUUCAGUAGAGAUAGGGUUUCACCAUGUUGGUUAGAUUGGUCUCAAACUCCUGACCUCAGGUGAUCUGCCUGCCUCAGCCUCCCAAAGUGCUGGGAUUACAGGUGUGAGCCACCACGUCUGGCCAUCUGAGCCUAAGUCUUAAGAAGACCUGAUCAUUUCAAUUCAUGCUCUUAGGAGUCUAUAGUCACCAUUUGAGUCUUGCUGGAGAAAGCAUGUGAAAAAACCACAAGGAGGGAGCAAGUGGAAAGGAAGAGGUCCUGAAACAACAGAGAAGAAUCAAAGAAACAAGUCAAUCGGGAGAAGCACAGCCUGCUCGUUUUCCCAGUUGAGCCAUUGCAGCCAGCCUCGAACUAUUCCAGAAAUUCUAGCAGAGGUACCAGGCAUGUGAGUGAGUGAAGGAGCUUUCUUGGACCUUCUAGCCCUAGCAGACACAACGCAGAGCAGAAACAAGCCAUCUCCACUGUUCUGUUUGAAUCCCUGACUCACAGAAUUGCAUACAAGUAAAAUGGUCGUUAUAUUAAGCCACUUAGUUUUAAGAUUGUUUAUUAUGCAGCAGCAGGUACGUGAAACACCAAGGAAAUUUUUAACAAUGUUCAAGAAAAGCUGAUAUUUCCUUUUGUUUCUCUUCCCUAUAAUGUUUGGCUCUAUGCAAGUGGAAAAAAGAGUGUGCUUUCGUGUUCUGUCCAUUCUACCAGAACUUUAGCUGAAGUCAUUAGGAAAGGUGUACCUAGUUGAGAUAACUACUCUUAUAAAAUCCUUUAAUAUGGAACAGAGGGUGGCAGGAGGCAGCCAAAUGCCUAGGCAGAUAGGGACGGGUCCCCGGUGAAACCCCACCUCCAAGCCAAAGACAGUUUAAAGCCUGAAAGCCAAGCUACAAGUUAAAUCCUCAGACCAGAUUGAGAACUUGUUUUCCUAUUUGGCAUGCUUUCCUCUGAUUGGUCCCCACCCUUAACCUAUUUUACAUAUACCUACCCUUUCCUAAUUGGUUUUCUACAUUGUCAUGCCCACCUUUGAGUGGUGUCUUCACUUUAAACUUUUUUGCUACUCACAAACCAAUCAGCAUGCAUUCCCCAUUCUGAGUCCAUGAAAGACCCUGGACCCAGCCACAGAGGGACUUUCACACCUUCAGGUAGGGGGACCACUCCCAUGUUCCCUCUCCACUGAAAGCUGUUUCAUCGCUCAAUAAAAUUCUUUUCCAUCCUCCUCACUCUUCAGUGUCCUGCGUAUCCUCUUUCUUCUUGAGUAUGGUACAAGAGCUCAGGGAUCGCUGAAUGUGGGUACAAGCUAUAACACAGGCAAGUUGGGGCAUGCCAGCAUGGCUGAGUGGGGCCCAGGUGGGGCAUUGCCAGCCAGAGAUCUUCAGCUUGCAAAGCAAGCAAGAAGAAAAAUCCUACAUCAGAACUUUAUGAGGGAAAUCAAGGAUUAGCUGAUCUCAUUCUGUGGAAUGAGCAUGUUUAGUUGACAACAUACCUGUGCACAACAAAGAAGGGAUGAUAUAUAGUGGUUUUCAG
rnacentral:lncRNA from 1 species